AUUGAACGCUGGCGGCAGGCUUAACACAUGCAAGUCGAGCGAGCCGCGGACGGGUUAGUAAUGUCUGUGAAACUGCCUGAGGGAUGGGGUUAACUACUGGAAACUGUUGCUAAUACCGCAUACCUUCAGCUGUGCCCAGGUGGGAUUAGCUAGUAGGUGGGGUAAUGGCUCACCUAGGAGACGAUCCCUACCUAGUCUGAGAGGAUGACCAGCCACACUGGAAGUGAGACACGGUCCAGACUCCUACGGGAGGCAGCAGUGGGGAAUAUUGGACAAUGGGCGAAAGCCUGAUGCAGCAAUGCCGCGUGUGUGAAGAAGGCCUUCGGGUUGUAAAGCACUUUCAGCGAGGAGGCGUUACUCGCAGAAGAAGCACCGGCUAACUCCGUGCCAGCAGCCGCGGUAAUUC
rnacentral:rRNA from 1 species